rnacentral:rRNA from 1 species
AGAGUUUGAUCAUGGCUCAGGAUUAACGCUAGCGGCAGGCCUAAUACAUGCAAGUUGUACGGGAUUAUUGGUAGCAAUACUGAUAUGAGAGUAGCGCACGGGUGCGUAACACGUAUGCAACCUACCUUUAACUGGGGAAUAGCUCACCGAAAGGUGAAUUAACACCGCAUAAAAUCACAGAAGGACAUCCUUUAAUGAUUAAAUCUCCGGAGGUUAAAGAUGGGCAUGCGUCCGAUUAGCUAGUUGGCGGGGUAAUAGCCCACCAAGGCAACGAUCGGUAGGGGGUCUGAGAGGAUGAUCCCCCACACUGGUACUGAGACACGGACCAGACUCCUACGGGAGGCAGCAGUAAGGAAUAUUGGACAAUGGGGGCAACCCUGAUCCAGCCAUGCCGCGUGAAGGAUGAAGGCCCUAUGGGUCGUAAACUUCUUUUACAGGGGACAAAUAUCCAGUUCGUGAACUGGAUUGAUGGUACUCUGAGAAUAAGGGUCGGCUAACUUCGUGCCAGCAGCCGCGGUAAUACGAAGGACCCGAGCGUUAUCCGGAUUUAUUGGGUUUAAAGGGUGCGUAGGCGGAUUUACAAGUCAGUGGUGAAAUCUCCCAGCUCAACUGGGAAACUGCCAUUGAAACUGUUUAUCUUGAGUACAUUUGAGGCGGGCGGAAUGUGUCAUGUAGAGGUGAAAUUCUUAGAUAUGACACAGAACACCAAUUGCGAAGGCAGCUCGCUAAACUGUAACUGACGCUGAGGCACGAAAGCGUGGGGAUCAAACAGGAUUAGAUACCCUAGUAGUCC